rnacentral:rRNA from 1 species
AGAUUAAACGCUGGCGGCAUGCUUUACACAUGCAAGUCGAACGGCAGCACGAGGAGCUUGCUCCUUGGUGGCGAGUGGCGCACGGGUGAGUAAUACAUCGGAACGUGUCCUGUUGUGGGGGACAACCAGUCGAAAGACUGGCUAAUACCGCAUAAGACCUGAGGGUGAAAGCGGGGGAUCGCAAGACCUCGCGCAAUUGGAGCGGCCGAUGCCUGAUUAGCUAGUUGGUGGGCUUUUACUCCGCCAACUAGCUAAUCGGACGCGAGCUCAUCUUCAGGCUAUAAAUAUUUUCCCUUUCGGUUUAUCGGUCGACGCGGCCG